CAACCUUCCCCCAGCACCAGAGAAUGUGGCCGCCUUCCGGGGUCUGCCGGGACCUGGUGGCUUCAACAGUCUCUACCAAAUGUCCUUCCAGCAGGGGAACCGCUUUUCCCCGUGUGGCCCGAGACCCUCCCGGACCCCUCUCUACUCCUGGGGAUUCGCCUUUCCCACCAGAGCACCGCCAGAGAGAAGGCAGCUGUCUUCGGUUUUCCCCCUGGUGACUGCCUGCUUUAACUAAACCUGUAACAUUCUCGACAAGCAAAUCAGGAAGGACUUUGCAGACAGAUGGCCCAGCUACCUAUGCGUUCUCAUUUACAUGCAGCCUUGGUUCUUGACUGUACUUGAGCCAUAUGCAGGGGCUUCGGAUUCCCUUUGGAUUGGUUUUAAGUGCUACGUAGACAAGCCAAAUCUAACUCGGACCAUGUUUCCCUAAUGUGAUUUAAUUCAAUGGAGUUGUGGAAAGUGUUUAUCAAAACAACUUUUGAAACUAAAAUCUUGGCUGGGUGAAAAAAUUGAUGCCAACCUUGGUUAGUGAGGCGGGUGCCUGAGGAGAGUGACCCAUAUAGUAACUGAAGACUAGGUUAUACAAUUUAUAAGUUAAAAUAAAAUUUUAAAUAUAAUCAAACAAA